CAAUUACCCAAUCCUGACACAGGGAGGUAGUGACAAUGAAAUAACAAUACAGGGCGAAUGUCUUGUAAUUGGAAUGAUGGUGACCCAAACCCUCACCAGAGUAGCAAUUGGAGGGCAAGUCUGGUGCCAGCAGCCGCGGUAAUUCCAGCUCCAAUAGCGUAUAUUAAACUUGUUGCAGUUAAAAAGCUCGUAGUUGUAUUUUUGCGUUGACGGUUUGACCAUUUGGUUGGUUAUUUCGUUUUCGCUUUUGGGAAUUUCCCUUUUUACUUUGAGAAAAUUAGAGUGUUUCAAGCAGACUUUUGUCUUGAAUACUUCAGCAUGGAAUAAUAGAGUAGGACUUUGGUUCUAUUUUGUUGGUUAUUGAACCUUAGUAAUGGUUAAUAGGAACGGUUGGGGGCAUUCGUAUUUAAA
rnacentral:rRNA from 1 species